AUUGAACGCUGGCGGCAGGCUUAACACAUGCAAGUCGAGCGGGGGAAGGUAGCUUGCUACCGGACCUAGCGGCGGACGGGUGAGUAAUGCUCAGGAAUCUGCCUAUUAGUGGGGGACAACAUCUCGAAAGGGAUGCUAAUACCGCAUACGUCCUACGGGAGAAAGCAGGGGAUCUUCGGACCUUGCGCUAAUAGAUGGGCCUAAGUCGGAUUAGCUAGUCGGUGGGGUAAAGGCCUACCAAGGCGACGAUCUGUAGCGGGUCUGAGAGGAUGAUCCGCCACACUGGGACUGAGACACGGCCCAGACUCCUACGGGAGGCAGCAGGGGGGAAUAUUGGACAAUGGGGGGAACCCUGAUCCAGCCACGCCGCGUGUGUGAAGAAGGCCUUAUGGUUGUAAAGCACUUUAAGCGAGGAGGAGGCUACUCUAGUUAAUACCUAGGGAUAGUGGACGUUACUCGCAGAAUAAGCACCGGCUAACUCUGUGCCAGCAGCCGCCGUAA
rnacentral:rRNA from 1 species